rnacentral:rRNA from 1 species
GACCUCGGAUCAGGUAGGAAUACCCGCUGAACUUAAGCAUAUCAAUAAGCGGAGGAAAAAAAA